GCCGUCCUCAAUUGACUUAAUAAAAUAUGCCCACAUAUGGGAAAUGCUAGAGGUUUUGUGGGAGAACAUUUUAGCCUCAUUCAGGUUAGCUGGUGAUACCUUACUGGUUAAAAUGUUGAGGGUUCUGGAUGUAGAGAAAAGCAAAUAAGCAAGUCUCAUCUGAAGUUUGAACUCUUCCCAGUUGGGUUUGUCUUCUGAAGAAGCCACAGGAUAGCAUAAUGCAGCGCGGUACUCAAAAUUUAAAACUUGGCUUAUGGGUUUAUGGCCAUCCAAACUUAAAAACAGAUUUACUAAUCCAGGGGAAUGUGGUGAUACCAAACAGCGAUACACUCCAACCUGAACAAUUUCUGCAUGAACACAAGCAUCUCCACACACACAACACAGGUCAAAUUUUGCCAGAUGUAGAUAUUGUUCAUGGAAAUAUCCAGUAACUAAAAUCUUUGNAGGCCCAUGUGUGGGAGAUAUCAGUGAUGACAAAUAUUUGUUCAGGAAUAGAAGAUUGAAGUUG
rnacentral:misc_RNA from 1 species